rnacentral:rRNA from 1 species
AGCGAACGCUGGCGGCAGGCCUAACACAUGCAAGUCGAACGAACCUUUCGGGGUUAGUGGCGUACGGGUGAGUAACACGUGGGAACGUGCCUUUAGGUUCGGAAUAACUCAGGGAAACUUGUGCUAAUACCGAAUGUGCCCUUCGGGGGAAAGAUUAAUCGCCUUUAGAGCGGCCCGCGUCUGAUUAGCUAGUUGGUUGAGGUAAUGGCUCACCAAGGCGACGAUCAGUAGCUGGUCUGAGAGGAUGAUCAGCCACAUUGGGACUGAGACACGGCCCAAACUCCUACGCGAGGCAGCAGUGGGGAAUCUUGCGCAAUGGGCGAAAGCCUGACGCAGCCAUGCCGCGUGAAUGAUGAAGGUCUUAGGAUUGUAAAAUUCUUUCACCGGGGACGAUAAUGACGGUACCCGGAGAAGAAGCCCCGGCUAACUUCGUG